UACGAAGGGGGCGAGCGUUGUUCGGAAUCACUGGGCGUAAAGGGCGCGUAGGCGGCCCUCUUAGUCGAGUGUGAAAGCCCCCGGCUCAACUGGGGAGGGUCAUUCGAAACUGGUCGACUCGAAGGCAGGAGAGGGUAGUGGAAUUCCCGGUGUAGUGGUGAAAUGCGUAGAUAUCGGGAGGAACACCAGUGGCGAAGGCGACUACCUGGCCUGUUCUUGACGCUGAGGCGCGAAAGCUAGGGGAGCAAACGGG
rnacentral:rRNA from 1 species